UAUUAUGAGAAAUUUAGCAUUCAAGCCUAAUAAUGGAAAGAUAUACGUUAAAGCGAUGAGCCUCUAUUUCAUUUUAUUGGCAUGCCAUGGACAAAUGGAGUGGAGAAUGAUGCUCCAUGGACAAAAAAAAUGCCCAUGCCUUUUGAAUACGUCUCAAAUAGCAUACUCAUACGUGAAAAUCGAUUAUCGCUUAACAAAAAUAGAACGGGUAAAUUAUCGCAAAGAGACUCCAUCUCUUGCACGUUUCAAUUUAGUUACACCUCUUCAGGCGGCCAAAAAAUAUAGAAUGAAGUUAUUGACAAGGACAUCUGAUAACCAAAUAAUGGAAAUAGGAAAAUCUGUAGAAUUCAAGAAUUCAUCAUUCAAACACGAUUUCAAUCAAACAGGUACUUACAAGCUGAGUUUCCAGUUUAAAAUUUGCAGAACCUGGUCUAUCGAAACUAUUAAACAUGUCAAAAUAGAUGAUAAACUUCUCAAUAAUUACUAUGGUUCUGAUUUUGUUAUAUUCGUCAAUCGAUAGACUUACGAAGAUAAUCCAAGCCUACACGUAAUGGUAUUUCCGAAAAAAUUUAAGAAGGCUCUCAAACGUGGAGAAAUUUCAAAGAAUAAUAGCAGAAUGUCUAUAUUUGUGAUAGCUCAUCAUCGUAGACCUGAUAAACAGACAGCGCAAAAGGAGAUAACUUAUACAAUUGAUUAUAAAACGUCUGAAAUGAACGAUUCUUACUUUAGAUUUGUUUAUGACAAGGAUGCCAGAAGGAAAAAUUUUUUGUGGCUUGCUACAAAUGUAGGAAUUGAUGAUGAAUUAGAAUGGGAAGAAGAAAUGGUUCCAGCAGAAUGUGUUAGAUAACCCUAUAAAUUUUAGACAAUACCCACUUUGAGAAGAUUGUCGCAUAUUGCC